UGACGGCCCUAUGGGUUGUAAACUUCUUUUGUACGGGAAUAAACCCUUCUACGUGUAGAAGGCUGAAUGUACCGUAAGAAUAAGGAUCGGCUAACUCCGUGCCAGCAGCCGCGGUAAUACGGAGGAUCCAAGCGUUAUCCGGAUUCAUUGGGUUUAAAGGGUGCGUAGGCGGAUUUGUAAGUCAGUGGUGAAAGCCUGCAGCUCAACUGCAGAACUGCCAUUGAUACUGCAAGUCUUGAGUACACUUGACGUGGGCGGAAUGUGUCAUGUAGCGGUGAAAAUGCUUAGAUAUGACACAGAACACCGAUUGCGAAGGCAGCUCACCAGACUGUAACUGACGCUGAGGCACGACAGCGUGGGGAUCAAACAGGAUUAGAUACCCUGGUAGUCCACGCCGUAAACUAUGAAUCACUCGAUAUUGGCGAUAUACUGUCAGCGU
rnacentral:rRNA from 1 species